rnacentral:rRNA from 4 species
GGUAUCAGAAGUGCGAAUGCUGACAUAAGUAACGAUAAAGCGGGUGAAAAGCCCGCUCGCCGGAAGACCAAGGGUUCCUGUCCAACGUUAAUCGGGGCAGGGUGAGUCGACCCCUAAGGCGAGGCCGAAAGGCGUAGUCGAUGGGAAACGGGUUAAUAUUCCCGUACUUGGUGUUACUGCGAAGGGGGGACGGAGAAGGCUAUGUUGGCCGGGCGACGGUUGUCCCGGUUUAAGCGUGUAGGUGUGUGUUCCAGGUAAAUCCGGUUCACUUUAACACUGAGGCGUGAUGACGAGGCACUACGGUGCUGAAGCAACAAAUGCCCUGCUUCCAGGAAAAGCCUCUAAGCAUCAGGUAACAUCAAAUCGUACCCCAAACCGACACAGGUGGUCAGGUAGAGAAUACCAAGGCGCUUGAGAGAACUCGGGUGAAGGAACUAGGCAAAAUGGUGCCGUAACUUCGGGAGAAGGCACGCUGACACGUAGGUGAAGUGAUUUACUCACGGAGCUGAAGUCAGUCGAAGAUACCAGCUGGCUGCAACUGUUUAUUAAAAACACAGCACUGUGCAAACACGAAAGUGGACGUAUACGGUGUGACGCCUGCCCGGUGCCGGAAGGUUAAUUGAUGGGGUCAGCGCAAGCGAAGCUCCUGAUCGAAGCCCCGGUAAACGGCGGCCGUAACUAUAACGGUCCUAAGGUAGCGAAAUUCCUUGUCGGGUAAGUUCCGACCUGCACGAAUGGCGUAAUGAUGGCCAGGCUGUCUCCACCCGAGACUCAGUGAAAUUGAACUCGCUGUGAAGAUGCAGUGUACCCGCGGCAAGACGGAAAGACCCCGUGAACCUUUACUAUAGCUUGACACUGAACAUUGAGCCUUGAUGUGUAGGAUAGGUGGGAGGCUUUGAAGCGUGGACGCCAGUCUGCGUGGAGCCGACCUUGAAAUACCACCCUUUAAUGUUUGAUGUUCUAACGUGGACCCGUAUCCGGGUUGCGGACAGUGUCUGGUGGGUAGUUUGACUGGGGCGGUCUCCUCCUAAAGAGUAACGGAGGAGCACGAAGGUUGGCUAAUCCUGGUCGGACAUCAGGAGGUUAGUGCAAUGGCAUAAGCCAGCUUGACUGCGAGCGUGACGGCGCGAGCAGGUGCGAAAGCAGGUCAUAGUGAUCCGGUGGUUCUGAAUGGAAGGGCCAUCGCUCAACGGAUAAAAGGUACUCCGGGGAUAACAGGCUGAUACCGCCCAAGAGUUCAUAUCGACGGCGGUGUUUGGCACCUCGAUGUCGGCUCAUCACAUCCUGGGGCUGAAGUAGGUCCCAAGGGUAUGGCUGUUCGCCAUUUAAAGUGGUACGCGAGCUGGGUUUAGAACGUCGUGAGACAGUUCGGUCCCUAUCUGCCGUGGGCGCUGGAGAACUGAGGGGGGCUGCUCCUAGUACGAGAGGACCGGAGUGGACGCAUCACUGGUGUUCGGGUUGUCAUGCCAAUGGCACUGCCCGGUAGCUAAAUGCGGAAGAGAUAAGUGCUGAAAGCAUCUAAGCACGAAACUUGCCCCGAGAUGAGUUCU